GUGGGGAAUCUUAGACAAUGGGGGAAACCCUGAUCUAGCCAUGCCGCGUGAGCGAUGAAGGCCUUAGGGUUGUAAAGCUCUGUUUUAAGGGACGAAUGUUACGGGGAGUAAUAUGCUCUGUAAAUGACGGUACCUUAAGAGGAAGCCCCGGCUAACUUCGUGCCAGCAGCCGCGGUAAUACGAAGGGGGCUAGCGUUGUUCGGAAUUACUGGGCGUAAAGCGCACGUAGGCGGAUCAGUCAGUUAGGGGUGAAAUCCCAGGGCUCAACCCUGGAACUGCCUUUAAUACUGCUGAUCUAGAGUUCGAGAGAGGUGAGUGGAAUUCCGAGUGUAGAGGUGAAAUUCGUAGAUAUUCGGAGGAACACCAGUGGCGAAGGCGGCUCACUGGCUCGAUACUGACGCUGAGGUGCGAAAGCGUGGGGAGCAAACAGGAUUAGAAACCCCGGUAGUCC
rnacentral:rRNA from 1 species